AACAAAAUGUUCCCAGGCUUUUUCUCGCCCAUGUUUUGUUUUCUACUCUGGACUUUUGGAGAAUCAUUGUCACCAUAAUAUUACUGAGUGCAUUUCUGAAAGGUAGGGUGCAUCCAAAGGCAGAACACAUGCCUCUGCUUUUCGCAACUUGUUUGUAAAACCAGACGUUUCUCUUGCUUUCAGGAUGAUUUUCAGGAUGAUGAAGUUUUGUUUUCCGGAGACGGUACUGUCUGGUUUGUGGGUGACGGGAGAAGGCUGAUUCUAUGGUCCAGAGAGGGAGAGAGCGAUACUUACAUUCAAGUUUCGCCUCAUGGAAGGCAGAGACCAAUUGCGGCCGCCUGAAAAACCGAGAGCUGAUGCCAGUUUGAUUUAGCUCAGGAGGCUGAAAUUUUAUGCCCGGAAGGCUGGUGUGAUGGAAUAGACCUUCUCAUUGCUCACAAUAUUAUGAAAAAAACAUUAAAGCAACAAUUUUUAUUACUUGCCCUGGAGCCAGAACUAUAAAAUGUACUUUCUUCUCCCCCUACCCUCCCUAACCCACUUAGCUUUUAAAAAUAAACAACCCAUUCGUGUGUUGGCUAUCGCCAGA